rnacentral:rRNA from 1 species
GAUGAACGCUGGCGGCGUGCCUAAUACAUGCAAGUCGAGCGAAUGGAUUGAGAGCUUGCUCUUAUGAAGUUAGCGGCGGACGGGUGAGUAACACGUGGGUAACCUGCCCAUAAGACGAGGAUAACUCAGGGAAACCGGGGCUAAUACCGGAUAACAUUUUGAACCGCAUGGUUCGAAAUUGAAAGGCGGCUUCGGCUGUCACUUAUGGAUGGACCCGCGGCGCAUUAGAUAGUUGGUGAGGUAACGGCUCACCAAGGCAACGAUGCGUAGCCGACCUGAGAGGGUGAUCGGCCACACUGGGACUGAGACACGGCCCAGACUCCUACGGGAGGCAGCAGUAGGGAAUCUUCCGCAAUGGACGAAAGUCUGACGGAGCAACGCCGCGUGAGUGAUGAAGGCUUUCGGGUCGUAAAACUCUGUUGUUAGGGAAGAACAAGUGCUAGUUGAAUAAGCUGGCACCUUGACGGUACCUAACCAGAAAGCCACGGCUAACUACGUGCCAGCCGCCGCGGUAA